rnacentral:rRNA from 1 species
AGAGUUUGAUCAUGGCUCAGGACGAACGCUGGCGGCGUGCUUAACACAUGCAAGUCGAACGGAAAGGCCCUUCGGGGUGCUCGAGUGGCGAACGGGUGAGUAACACGUGAGUAACCUGCCCUGGUCUUGGGGAUAACCUUCGGAAACGGGGGCUAAUACCGAAUAUUUCCUGCUGGUCGCAUGGCUGGUGGGGGAAAGUUUUUUCGGACUGGGAUGGGCUCGCGGCCUAUCAGCUUGUUGGUGGGGUGAUGGCCUACCAAGGCUUUGACGGGUAGCCGGCCUGAGAGGGCGACCGGCCACACUGGGACUGAGACACGGCCCAGACUCCUACGGGAGGCAGCAGUGGGGAAUAUUGCACAAUGGACGAAAGUCUGAUGCAGCGACGCCGCGUGAGGGAUGACGGCCUUCGGGUUGUAAACCUCUUUCGCCAAGGACGAAGCGAAAGUGACGGUACUUGGAGAAGAAGCGCCGGCCAACUACGUGCCAGCAGCCGCGGUA